AUCUUGUGGUGUAGUGGUUUGAGUGUUGGACUAUGACUCUGGAGACCAGGGUUCAAAUCCCUGACUGGCCA